CCAAAGUCAUGGUUAAGUGGGAAACGAUGUGGGAAGGCCCAGACAGCCAGGAUGUUGGCUUAGAAGCAGCCAUCAUUUAAAGAAAGCGUAAUAGCUCACUGGUCGAGUCGGCCUGCGCGGAAGAUGUAACGGGGCUAAACCAUGCACCGAAGCUGCGGCAGCGAACGUAUCACCCAAGACAACUUUACGGAGUUGACGAUUGACGGAGCGAAGCGACGUCAAAGCGUUCAUUAAAGUCGAGUUGGCUUAGGGAUACGUUCGUUGGGUAGGGGAGCGUUCUGUAAGCCUGUGAAGGUGUGUCGUGAGGCAUGCUGGAGGUAUCAGAAGUGCGAAUGCUGACAUAAGUAACGAUAAAGCGGGUGAAAAGCCCGCUCGCCGGAAGACCAAGGGUUCCUGUCCAACGUUAAUCGGGGCAGGGUGAGUCGACCCCUAAGGCGAGGCCGAAAGGCGUAGUCGAUGGGAAACGGGUUAAUAUUCCCGUACUUGGUGUUACUGCGAAGGGGGGACGGAGAAGGCUAUGUUGGCCGGGCGACGGUUGUCCCGGUUUAAGCGUGUAGGUGUGUGUUCCAGGUAAAUCCGGUUCACUUUAACACUGAGGCGUGACGACGAGGCACUACGGUGCUGAAGCAACAAAUGCCCUGCUUCCAGGAAAAGCCUCUAAGCAUCAGGUAACAUCAAAUCGUACCCCAAACCGACACAGGUGGUCAGGUAGAGAAUACCAAGGCGCUUGAGAGAACUCGGGUGAAGGAACUAGGCAAAAUGGUGCCGUAACUUCGGGAGAAGGCACGCUGACACGUAGGUGAAGUGAUUUACUCAUGGAGCUGAAGUCAGUCGAAGAUACCAGCUGGCUGCAACUGUUUAUUAAAAACACAGCACUGUGCAAACACGAAAGUGGACGUAUACGGUGUGACGCCUGCCCGGUGCCGGAAGGUUAAUUGAUGGGGUCAGCGCAAGCGAAGCUCCUGAUCGAAGCCCCGGUAAACGGCGGCCGUAACUAUAACGGUCCUAAGGUAGCGAAAUUCCUUGUCGGGUAAGUUCCGACCUGCACGAAUGGCGUAAUGAUGGCCAGGCUGUCUCCACCCGAGACUCAGUGAAAUUGAACUCGCUGUGAAGAUGCAGUGUACCCGCGGCAAGACGGAAAGACCCCGUGAACCUUUACUAUAGCUUGACACUGAACAUUGAGCCUUGAUGUGUAGGAUAGGUGGGAGGCUUUGAAGUGUGGACGCCAGUCUGCAUGGAGCCGACCUUGAAAUACCACCCUUUAAUGUUUGAUGUUCUAACGUGGACCCGUAAUCCGGGUUGCGGACAGUGUCUGGUGGGUAGUUUGACUGGGGCGGUCUCCUCCUAAAGAGUAACGGAGGAGCACGAAGGUUGGCUAAUCCUGGUCGGACAUCAGGAGGUUAGUGCAAUGGCAUAAGCCAGCUUGACUGCGAGCGUGACGGCGCGAGCAGGUGCGAAAG
rnacentral:rRNA from 1 species